CAUUGUACGACACAAUUUUUCCAUACAGGCAGAGAUACGGUGGAAUGCAAUUCGUGUUUUAAAAUAUUAAUUGUGAUCUCUUUAGUGUAGAAAGCUAUGUUGCAGUUUAUGUUACUAUUCAGCCGGCAAGGCAAGCUAAGGCUGCAAAAAUGGUAUGUCGCACACUCGGACAAGGUCAAGAAGAAGAUCACCCGGGAACUAAUUACGACAAUCCUGUCCCGUAAGCCCAAAAUGUGCUCCUUUUUGGAAUGGAAAGACUGUACUAUCGUUUACAAGAGAUAUGCGAGCUUGUACUUUUGCUGUGCUAUUGAACAAAAUGAUAACGAGCUGCUAACGCUAGAAGUAAUUCACCGGUAUGUGGAGCUGCUGGACAAAUACUUCGGUAGUGUAUGUGAGCUGGACAUCAUUUUCAACUUUGAAAAGGCUUACUUCAUACUAGAUGAGCUGUUAGUGGGAGGCGAGAUACAGGAAACCUCAAAAAAGAACGUCCUCAAGGCAAUAGCUGCGCAAGAUGUGCUCCAAGAGCAAAAGGAAUUGGAGUGUUAAUGCAAAAUGUAUACAUUCAAUAGUGAAGAUAUUGGAGUGAUUUUUUUAAUUCGGAGAAAUUUGUAAAAGGGGAUUAUCUCUCUAAGUGUCACCGGUAUCGAAGUAAAAACAGUAUACAAAAUUGAAACACUAAUACUCCUUGCUUAUAGUGUAAGGCAUUUCCAUUAUCAAUGGUUAACGAUCGUUCGUCGCUGUACUUUCCGGGACACCGGUUCUGGGUUUUACAGGAGCGACGGGUUGAGCUUCUUCGUACUCUUCAGCUACAAGCCAAGAGCGUUUUGCAAUCUUCAGCACUUCAGCAACAAGCGCAUACUCACCUUGAAAGCUAUGGCUGUAAAUAUGCAACGGAUUGGAACCCAAGAAUUCCUAUCAACCUAAUGACGAAACACCGCAAGGGUUCUUCGAGGACCACGGGCUCGGGUAGACGGCGGCCGGUGUCGGUGGAACAAGGCGUAUCCCUUCGCUAGCCAAAGCAACUCGCAACGAAUUACUAUGAUUUAGUGGUCUUUUAUCAUUCGAACGUCAUAUUUCCUCGUAGAUUUUAUUUUCUUCCGUUCGUCAGCAGGCGUCUUCUGACGGAUUUGCUUCAACCUAUUCCCAUUCACUUCGAUUCUGCCAAGGAUGCAUCCGUGACCCUAAUCGGCGAUGCCGCAGUAAGCACAUAUCAUAUGUUUCUUCUGUUGGGUGAUCCAUGCCACGACUUCAGGACUCAUUUGCGUUUAUAUAAUUGCACCAUUUUGUGAACAGUUUACCGCAAAACGCACAUGUUAAGUUACAAUCGUAGAAAGAUAUCGCUCCAAACCGACACCGCAACACGCCCCGAGUCUUUUUCCUGAAGCCCGAUAGAACCUCUCCUCAUGAGGUGAUCCCACUUCGGCCCGGACGCAUCAACACGAUGAGGUGUCGCCUUGUACUUAAUAGUGUGUAAGAUAAUUCGCCAACAUUUCCACGAAACGCUGGGGCAUCGCAAACCGCCGGCAUAUAGAAAGAAGAGGUGUAAAAAUAUCUCAAGAUGUGGAACCAGUAGAACGCUACUUCGCCACUCCCCGAGCUGAAGAAGGAAGUAAAACGGAAUGAAUCAUGGAGUGGAAAAUCCCUGACGAUCACGCAUUCGCAUGAUUCGCAAGAAACGACCUGCAGACAGAAUGGCAUUUAUAGCGCGUAGAUUGUAGUUCUUCUCUCGUUGGUGAUGAUGAUUAGUAGAGUUUAAAGAUAGUGAGUUCAUAUUCCUGAUAUACUUAUCGUAACAAGAACAAGCGAUUUCUAAUAAAAUUAGAACAUACUGUA